rnacentral:rRNA from 1 species
GUCAACGGCCAUGCCACCCUGAACAAGCCCGAUCCCGUCUGAUCUCGGAAGCUAAGCAGGGUCAGGCCUGGUUAGUACUUGGACAGGAGACCACCUAGGAAGACCAAGUGCUGUAGGCG